rnacentral:rRNA from 1 species
UACGUAGGGGGCGAGCGUUGUCCGGAAUCAUUGGGCGUAAAGAGCUCGUAGGCGGCGCGGUAAGUCACUUGUGAAAUCUCUGAGCUUAACUCAGAACGGCCAAGUGAUACUGCAGUGCUAGAGUGCAGAAGGGGCAAUCGGAAUUCUUGGUGUAGCGGUGAAAUGCGUAGAUAUCAAGAGGAACACCUGAGGUGAAGACGGGUUGCUAGGCUGACACUGACGCUGAGGCGCGAAAGCCAGGGGAGCAAACGGG